rnacentral:tRNA from 1 species
GUAGAUGGCCGAGUGUUAGNCGCAGNCUGUAAUCCUGCUCACACGGGUUUAAGCCCGNUUCUUC